rnacentral:lncRNA from 1 species
GAAGUUCCUAUUUUUGCGAGGAAUCUCAAUUUCGUCCCGUUCUUUUUGGUUUUCUCAAUUAGGUUCAAUUUUAUGAAAAUUGUAACAAUUAGACCCUUUCCGUUAAAUUGGGUCUAACAACGUUAGUGUGUGUUUGAUGUGGCACAGCUGACAGGGACACCUUAAUUGACGUGGAUAAACGACGGGAACCACCACCCAACAACAUCCAUUUUCUUACCUCUCACACCAUCCUCAAGGAUCGAUUCCUCUGUUUGCUUGACGGAAAAUGCUCCUCCAUCAUACACAUAACCAAACAUCUAUCUUCCAAACCCAAGCUUCAUCGCCCAUUCUUACCAGAUUUCAAUAAUCAAGCCAAAUUCUUAUAAUGGAAACCAGAACAUCUUCUUUUCACUUGCCUCGACAAACAAUCAUUCUUUGGCUUAUGCAAUCAAAACUCUUGAAGAGUCAAACAUUCUCUUCUUUAUCCUCACCAUAGCCAUAUUCACACGAAGAUCCCCUUUUGACUCAACACCACACCUCAUUGCUUCAACCUAUCAUCCACUACACGAAUCAUCUCUAGAAGACACCAUUCACCCCAUUAACAGUUCGGAGCAACCACCUCCUCCAUCACACAAAACACAAAACCAAAGCGAAACAGAGACGAACCCAUCCACUCACUUACUAUCCCCACUACUUUUCCCAUCACCAUCACACCAAACCAUCUCGACACCCAAAGUGGAAAAUAGAUAUCAGAGGGCAUAGAAACAAUUGUUGAAAGCAAGUUCUCAGUUCAAGUGAUGAGGGGCAACUGUCGGAGUUAGGUUGAUGGCAGUGUCGUGCGAAAAUGAAGGGGAAAGGGUUUCACGCUGAGAAAGCCGAGGGUGACGCCGCCUUUGUCGCUCCUAAUCACCUCUGGCAGUGGAGAAAAUUAUAAUAGCUACCGUGACCAAUAAGGGUUGGCGGUGACGACUGACACCCUCAGAGAUGCCUCUAGCGAGGCAUAAACUGGUACGACAUUUGGUUCUGUUUAAGCAAGGUUCGCACAAGAGGAGGAAUGAUU